UGUGCACAAAUAAUAAUUUAUAAAUAUGCCUCAUAUGGGGUUUUAAUAGUAAUUAUUAUUUUUUUACAUUUACCACAAGUUCCUUUCGUUUUUUCUUCUCUUUGUAUGCACUCCAUUCAACCCUAAGUCCACAUUUUUCUCCAUCCUCUGCCACCGUGACUGCGUCUUUCUUCGCCGCCGCCGCCUGAAGCUCUGUUCUGUUCAACUGGAGCUAUAAUUCAGCCCAGUACUUCAUUGUCUCAUUCAUUCUCCGUAUCUCUCUUCUCUCUUCGCGUCAUUCGUCUUCAGCCUCAGAGUGGUGGCGUGGGUCUCAGCGAGUCAGCAUCCUCGUCAGCGUUGUGGUGCUCUACUUCCAGAGUUUCAAUGGAGCCUCAGACUUAGGUUCUUCGUAUACUGAACGGUGACAUGGUCAUGGACACGAGUUUGCAGAUGCAGCACCAUUACAGCGGUCCUCUGUUAGAAGAGCCACUUGAAUCAUUCAGUGGGAAGCUAUCUCUUGACAAAUACAUGCCU